rnacentral:rRNA from 1 species
GUCUACAGCCAUACCACCCUGAAUGUGCCAAUCUCAUCUGAUCUCAGAAGCUAAGCAGGGUCAGGCCUGGUUAGUACUUUGAUGGGAGACCACCUGGGAAUACUGGGUGCUGUAGGCU